rnacentral:rRNA from 1 species
GAUGAACGCUGGCGGCGUGCCUAAUACAUGCAAGUCGAGCGAACGGACGAGAAGCUUGCUUGUCUGAUGUUAGCGGCGGACGGGAGAGUACCACGUGGAUAACCUACCUAUAAGACUGGGAUAACUUCGGGAAACCGUAGCUAAUACGGGAUAAUAUUUUGAACAGCAUGGUUCAAACGUGAAAGACGGUCUUGCUGUCACUUAUAGAUGGAUACGCGCUGCAUUAGGUAGUUGGUAAGGUAACGGAUUACCAAGGCAACGAUGCAUAGCCGACCUGAGAGGGUGAUCGGACACCCUGGAACUGAGACACGGUCCAGACUCCUACGCGAGGCAGCAGUAGAGAAUCUUCCGCGAGGGGGGAAAGCCUGAUGGAGCAACGCCGCGUGAGUGAUGAAGGUCUUCGGAUCGGAAAACUCUGUUAGUAUGGAAGAACAUAUGUGUAAGUAACUGUGCACAUCUUGACGGUACCUAAUCAGAAAGCCACGGCUAACUACGUG